AUCCAGCUGACUAGUCCUCAAACGGACGAAACGUGCGUCCUGGAU
rfam:Schistosoma curassoni strain Dakar, Senegal genome assembly, scaffold: SCTD_scaffold0018772